rnacentral:rRNA from 1 species
AUACAGAGGGUGCGAACGUUGCUCGGAAUUACUGGGCGUAAAGCGCAUGUAGGCGGACCUGCAAGUCAGAUGUGAAAUCCCCGGGCUCAACCCGGGAACUGCACCUGAAACUGCGGGCCUUGAGUACUGGAGAGGGUGGCGGAAUUCCUGGUGUAGAGGUGAAAUUCGUAGAUAUCAGGAGGAACACCGGUGGCGAAGGCGGCCACCUGGACAGUCACUGACGCUGAGAUGCGAAAGCGUGGGGAGCAAACAGGA